rnacentral:rRNA from 1 species
GGAUCAUUACCGAGUUAUCUAAACUCCCAAAACCCUACGUGAACCUUACCGUCGUUGCCUCGGCGGGCCGCGCUUACCCGGUAGCUACCCCGUAGCUACCCGGUAGGUGCGCUUAUAGGCCCGCCGGUGGACCACUAAACUCUGUUUUAAUACUGUAUCUCUGAAUGCUUCAACUUAAUAAGUUAAAACUUUCAACAACGGAUCUCUUGGUUCUGGCAUCGAUGAAGAACGCAGCGAAAUGCGAUAACUAAUGUGAAUUGCAGAAUUCAGUGAAUCAUCGAAUCUUUGAACGCACAUUGCGCCCAUUAGUAUUCUAGUGGGCAUGCCUAUUCGAGCGUCAUUUCAACCCUUAAGCCUAGCUGCUUAGUGUUGGGAAUCUGCCCCGUAGUUACGGGGCAGCUCCCUAAAGCCAUCGGCGGAGUUGGGGCAUACUCUAAGCGUAGUAACAUUCUUCUCGCUUCUGCAGUUGUCCUGGCGGCUUGCCGUUAAACCCCCCUAUAUUUUUCUAGUGGUUGACCUCGGAUUAGGUAGGAAUACCCGCUGAACUUAAGCAUAUCAAUAAGCGGAGGAAAAGAAACCAACAGGGAUUGCCCUAGUAACGGCGAGUGAAGCGGCAACAGCUCAAAUUUGAAAUCUGGCCCUAGCGGUCCGAGUUGUAAUUUGUAGAGGAUGCUUUUGGUUAGGUGCCUUCCGAGUUCCCUGGAACGGGACGCCAGAGAGGGUGAGAGCCCCGUACGGUUGGACGCCGAGCCUCUGUAUAGCUCCUUCGACGAGUCGAGUAGUUUGGGAAUGCUGCUCUAAAUGGGAGGUAAAUUUCUUCUAAAGCUAAAUACCGGCCAGAGACCGAUAGCGCACAAGUAGAGUGAUCGAAAGAUGAAAAGUACUUUGAAAAGAGGGUUAAAUAGCACGUGAAAUUGUUGAAAGGGAAGCGUUUGCGACCAGACUUUUUCUAGGCGGAUCAUCCGGUGUUCUCACCGGUGCACUUCGCCUGGUUUAGGCCAGCAUCGGCUCUCUUAGGGGGAUAAAGGCCAGGGGAACGUAGCUCCUUCGGGAGUGUUAUAGCCCCUAGCGUAAUACCCUUCGGGGGGCCGAGGAACGC